AAAUGGCACAGAUAGUCUGCUAUUUUAAUGCUAUAGAUUUUUCGUCAAGGUUUAAGACAUCUUGCUCAUUUUGGAGAUUUUUUGGCAAGGUUUAAGACAUCUUGCUCAGGAUUGAUUGAAAUGCUUCAUUCUGAUUCAAUAUUUUAUAGGUUCAACUAGUCUUUUAGGUGAAAGGUUGCAAGUCUCGGUAUUGUCGCUGCCUUUGGGAUGACAAUGAACGACCCUCCAAACCAACCUGAGGGUGUGCCUAAAGGUAUGACUCGAUCCUUGACUCAGCUUGGCCACAAAAUGGCACAGAUAGUCUGCUAUUUUAAUGCCAUAGGUUUUUCGUCAAGGUUUAAGACAUCUUGCUCAUUUCGGAGAUUUUUUGGCAAGGUUUAAGACAUCUUGCUAAGGAUUGAUUGAAAUGCUUCAUUCUGAUUCCAUAUUUUAUAGGUUCAACUAGUCUUUUAGGUGAGAGGUUGCAAGUCUCGGUAUUGUCGCUGCCUUUGGGAAGACAAUGAACGACCCUCCCAACCAACCUGAGGGAGAACCUCAAGGUAUGACUCGAUCCUUGGCUCAGCUUGGCCACAAAAUGGCACAGAUAGUCUGCUAUUUUAGUGCCAUAGAUUUUUCGUCAAGGUUUAAGACAUCUUGCUCAUUUUGGAGAUUUUUCGGGAAGGUUUAAGACAUCUUGCUGAUGAUUGAUUGAAAUGCUUCAUUCUGAUUCCAUAUUUUAUAGGUUUAACUAGUCUUUUAGGUGAGAGGUUGCAAGUCUCGGUAUUGUUGCUGGCUUUGGGAUGACAAUGAACGACCCUCCCAACCAACCUGAGAGAGUGCCUCAAGAUAUGACUCGAUCCUUGACUCAGCUUGACCACAAAAUGGCACAGAUAGUCUGCUAUUUUAAUGCCAUAGAUUUUUCGGCAAGGUUUAAGACAUCUUGCUCAUUUUGGAGCUUUUUUGGCAAGGUUCAAGACAUCUUGCUGAGGAUUGAUUGAAAUGCUUCAUUCUGAUUCCAUAUUUUAUAGGUUCAACUAGUCUUUUAGGUGAGAGGUUGCAAGUCUCGGUAUUGUCGCUGCCUUUGGGAUGACAAUGAACGACCCUCCCAACCAACCUGAGGGAGUGCCUCAAGGUAUGACUCGAUCCUCGACUCAGCUUGGCCACAAAAUGGCACAGAUAGUCUGCUAUUUUAAUGCCAUAGAUUUUUCGGCAAGGUUUGAGAAAUCUUGCUCAUUUUGGAGCUUUUUUGGCAAGGUUUAAGACAUCUUGCUAAGGAUUGAUUGAAAUGCUUCAUUCUGAUUCCAUAUUUUAUAGGUUCAACUAGUCUUUUAGGUGAGAAGUUGCAAGUCUCGGUAUUGUUGCUGGCUUUGGGAUGACAAUGAACGACCCUCCCAACCAACCUGAGGGAGUGCCUCAAGGUUCAACAAGACUAGGAUCAUCCCUGAAACACUGAGAUCCCCAUCCCGUAGAACUUCCAGGGAGAACCCAUCAAAAAUCGUCUCGAAAACUCUUGCCUUGAUCAGGAUACGCUGCAAAACCACCGACGAGGAAAAUGACUUCAUCAUCAUUGUGGAAGUAGCCGUUUUGGGUCUGAUAAGCUACCACACAUGGAAUACUGUUAGGAACAAACCUGAUAAAAAAACUCUCCAUGCUUACACCAACGUUCACAUUGACACAGAGCAGGAAAAUCACCUUGAUGCUCUUGUUUCAGGCAAAUGUAAAUGUUAUGUUGUGCAGUGCAAACGAUUUGUUAAAGGGACACUAUAGGCAGCUGCUAGGCGGCAGCAAGAUAAAGUUACACAAGUUGCCAAUAGGGGUCUCUCCCAUCUCACAGUUCACAAAACUAUUCUCGCUCCAACAAUGAAUAUAUUUAGUGCUGAAUCUAACAUGACCCAGUGUCCUUACUGUACAUAUUAGUCACCCAAAGAUGGCCAAUUUGACCCAGCUGCUCCUGCCUAUAGUCCCCCUUUAAGCAAAUAUUUGUUUCAAAUUGCAACUUCCACGAUUUGUCCCAAAAUGUGAUUUACCGACAUGCUUGAACAUCACCUGUAUGUAUUUGACAUUGCAAUACUGCACAAUGUGAUUUAUCAACAUGUUUGAAGAUCACCUGUAUGUAGAUCACCUGUAUGUAGAUCACCUGUAUAUAUUUGACAAUGCAAUACUGCACAUAAUCUUGCACUGUGGCCCAGUGUGUUUUGCACCCUUGAAACUAAUGUAAUUUAAACCUUUCAAGCCUGAAUGCUCCUGGGAGGGCCUUCCUAUUCUCAGAUAGUCUGUGAAUCAAAUAAGCCACUAGAGUAUGUUGAUAACUUUAUCAUUUGAUACUGUGUCAUCUUCCUUUGUCCCACAUAGGCAUAUCUUUUAUCAUUUUAAUUUUUUAUAUUUUUGCAAAAUAGUUUUUUAGCGUUAAAGUGUUUUCUUUAGUGAUACAUGUUGGUCAUUAUAGCUAGAUUAGAGGUGGGUUAGGCCUACAGGGUUUAGAUAGCAGUACUACAGCAUCAGUUUAUUUCAUGAUUGGCAGUUAGUGCCGUCAUCCGUAGCCACUUCUCGUGUAGCUGUUAGCGUUAUGAUGGAGACUAGUGAGUGUAGUAGGUGUAGGCGCAACGUAGCUAAGGUUAGGCACUCACUGGUCUUUAUCUCCAGGAAGAUGACACACUCAGGGUAACCAUGGCCCAGCUGAAAUACAAUCUUAUCACUGGUUUUAAACUUGCUUGGACCCAGUUGUUUGCUUUAAUUGGGAAAAAUUUGUUAUCAGAUUUUAAAACUCUUAAUUGGGCACAGGGCUUGAAAAGUUAGAAACAUUCAACUGUGAUAAAAAGGGUGAGCAAAGGUAAUUACUUUUUCUCACCCAU